UACGAAGGGGGCUAGCGUUGUUCGGAAUUACUGGGCGUAAAGCGCGCGUAGGCGGACAUUUAAGUCAGGGGUGAAAUGCCGGGGCUCAACCUCGGAACUGCCUUUGAUACUGGAUGUCUGGAGUUCGGGAGAGGUGAGUGGAAUUCCGAGUGUAGAGGUGAAAUUCGUAGAUAUCAGGAGGAACACCAAUGGCGAAGGCAGCUCGCUGGGACGGUACUGACACUGAGACGCGAAAGCGUGGGGAGCAAACAGG
rnacentral:rRNA from 1 species